rnacentral:rRNA from 1 species
AUUGAACGCUGGCGGCAUGCUUUACACAUGCAAGUCGAACGGUAACAGGCCUUCGGGCGCUGACGAGUGGCGAACGGGUGAGUAAUGCAUCGGAACGUGCCCAGUCGUGGGGGAUAACGCAGCGAAAGCUGUGCUAAUACCGCAUACGAUCUGCGGAUGAAAGCGGGGGACCUUCGGGCCUCGCGCGAUUGGAGCGGCCGAUGUCAGAUUAGGUAGUUGGUGGGGUAAAGGCUCACCAAGCCAACGAUCUGUAGCUGGUCUGAGAGGACUACCCCCCGCACUGGGACUGAGACACGGCCCAGACUCCUACGGGAGGCAGCAGUGGGGAAUUUUGGACAAUGGGCGCAAGCCUGAUCCAGCAAUGCCGCGUGCAGGAAGAAGGCCUUCGGGUUGUAAACUGCUUUUGUACGGAGCGAAAAGGCUCCCUCUAAUACAGGGGGCUCAUGACGGUACCGUAAGAAUAAGCACCGGCUAACUACGUGCCAGCCGCCGCCGUAAUAC